ACACCUGCUGCCACUGAUUGGCCCAAUUUGGGCCAAACCAUUUUUCCUUGUGUCAAAGGGGGACACUGAACAUUGACAUUGGACAUUAAUGAGCGACAAGCCUAAAUGCACGAGUGAAAAUCACUGAUCUAAAAGUUGAAAUGAACUUUAACAUGCAUGCUGUAUAUUUGAUGAGUUUAUUCAUGGUUGACCUGCAAUAUGCCACAGUAUUAUAAUCCCCCUGUUGAUUGAGCCUGUCUAGUGGGAGGGGCCAUGGGGUAUAAAAGGGCUGAGCUGCUGUCCUUCUGACAGUCUGCUGGAUGCUGUUGCCAGAAGAGGUUGUCUGUGUUGAGCAGGGUGCUCAGCUCUCCACGAGAUGCUAAAUAUCUACUGAGGUCUAUCAUGGAUACUUAACUGCAGUUCUGUGAGUAUCCCAACUUAACCAUGAAGAUGAACUGCAAACUGUGAGUCAUUAAUUUCUCAUUACUCUUGGGCAUAUUGAUGUAUUUUGGCUUCCUGGUGAGUUAACCUGUUACCUGAAGGUUGAUCUGAGUAGCAAGGAUGUUUUAUUGGUUCAUGGGUUACUUAGGGAUUUGGUUUAUGUUGGUUUUAAUGAUUUGUUAAAAUGGUUACAGGCUCCAAGUUAUUGUUGUAAGCCUGGGCAAUGGGUUGGUUUCUGAUAUCUGCAGUCUUCUUUCAUUCUACUCUCCUGAGCUCUGCAUCUUCAUCACAUGAGUGUUGCUUUACUGAUGAGGGUGUGGUCUGAGUGAGCAGAUGUGCAUACUGGGAUACAGAGCUGUCUGAAGUCUACAGGUCUGUAGACGCGCCCCCUCAGGGGAAACCGAGUGUUUGAGAAACUGUCGUGACGUCAGUUACAUGGACUGGAAUGUUCUUAAAGAUGGAGACAGGGAUUCAGAAGGAGAAACACCAGGGGGAGAUGAGGGGGCUCCUCAUCUCAACGGCCAAAACACAACUUCAGUCUGACAGAGAACCAUGGAACACAUUCAACAGUCCCCUCCAGGCAUCGUGACUCCUCAGGAAGGUUUAAUUUCCAAGGUCUUAUUUGGGGCCAUCCCCAUAUGGAUCCUGCUCCUCAAGAGCCACCCCCCUCCACUGGGUGGUCUUCUGAACAGAUGACCUCCUUCCUGUCCUCAGGCUGACUAAAGCUGCACCGUUUGCAUCUGUGAAGGCCCCUCAUUCAGGAAACCACUUGACUACAAAGACAUGACUUCAGAGACGUUGAAUCAACCUGGGACAUUUUGGAGACGCAAAGCAUAAUCCAUCACCAAUGUGGGACGCCACUGAAGAAUGUUGUGCAUAAUUUACAUCUCUGGAGAAAUUGGUUGUUCUGGUAUGGGUGCCCUGGCAGGAGGGGUGGGGAAUGAUGGAAUGUUAUUUGGCAUGAGGUUUUUACCCUGCAUGAUUGUUUGGCCCUUUAUGGCUCAGUGGUGUGUGUGUGUUUGACAUGAGAUGGAAGAUUUUUGAGGGUUCUACUGUGUGUGUCUCCCACUCACACCUGGCAUAGGGUUCUACGUGCCUGGCCUGGGUUCUAUGUGUGUGUCCGGCUUGCUUUGACAGUGAUAAUGUUCAUACGGGGGUCUGUGUGAUUGGCUUGGGAUAUUGGAAGGGUCAACUAAAUCAUACCUGAUGGAUGACCACACGUUUACUCAAGGGCCUCCAGUAGACAUGAAGAGCCCUGAGCGACGCUCCAGAGCGAUAUCCAACACACUGGGCAGGAAGGAGAGUAUCCAACUCAAGUGUAAAAGGAUGCAAGCGGUGUGUUCAGAUCAGUGUCUUCAAAUUAGGACUACACCAAUCAGGAUAAAUGGAGGAUUGACACCAAAAGGAAUUCCACACGGAGUCUGACGUUGGAAAGGGACCUAAAUGGAUUUUCAAGAUGACCUUCAGACCUGUAAUGAGACGGCUCUUCCUACCUGGCCGGAUUGAUGAAGAGCCCUGUGGAAACCUUCACUGGGCUUCAAGGUAUAAAGAGGAGAAUGUUUCCAUGGUACUCUGAUGAAGACCGUUGUUGUGUUCCACUGGCAGAGGGGAAGAACCCACACAUCUUUCUCUUGACCGUUCUCCUCUGAGAAUCCUGGUGCCAUCUUGAAGGAUAUUCCAGCUCAUGUAACUGAUGUCACGACAGUUUCUUAAACACUUGGUUUCUCCUGAGGGGCGUGUCUAUAGAACUGAAGACUUCAGACGGCACUGUAUCCCAGCAUGCAUCUCUGCUCACUCGGACCACACCCCCAUGAGUAGGAUGCAACACUCUAGUGAUGGAGAUGUAGAGUUUUAUAAGUAACGAGGGAGCAGACUAAGGUGAUUAGAACACAAUGGAAUGUCCAGUCUGUAAAUCUUUAAUCCAUGAAGAUGGUUGGAUAGUUCAGGAAUUGGGCUUCUUUUUAUUAUGGGCAGUCCUUUCACUCGGAUGCCCACGAUGAUGCCCAUGAUUUGCUGUUGGUGAUGAGGUGGUCAGGGUGACGUUGCAGGGCUAUGGUCGGCUCUCUGCUCAACGUUUAGAUUUGCUCUGUAUGGUUUAUACCCGGAAUAAUCUAGAUAAUUGUAAAAUGUAUACACGGUUUUGUAUUGAAUGAUUUUAGUUUUAAAGUUGUUGUGGGACGUACAUGGUAGUUUGGUUCUUCGUAUGGUUUUGAGUGAUAUAACUUGUACACACUGGGUGCAUAAUAAUGUAAAGGUACACUGAAUAGGAAUGACCAACGGCAACAAACGGAUCUCCUCAAGGUAAGUCUGUUGGCUGUGUUUUAAUGAAGACCAUCGCUGGACUUCAGGAUCUUCCUCCGUUCAGCUCAAGGUGAGGCGCUGGUUCUGUUUUUUCUUUGGUUGGUUCCGGCCGGAAUGUUCGGAUUCCAGUCGGACGGUUUGUGCUUCCCGCCGUGGAAGGUUCUGAGUGUGGUCACUUGAUUUAGUCCCAAUGGUUAGCAUAGAACGUUGUAGUCUUGACAACCAUAAGAAACCACCUGGCAGUUAGUUGGACUGGAGUCCCCUGAGGGAAUCUGGCGGAACGUUCUGGAUUGUAUUUGCGUAACCUCGAGCCGUUUCCUAUUCUAUUUCAGUCGGUUUCGAUUGGGAAUUGUUGCCCCUAUCUUAAACAACUUAAGUCUGAUAUUAAAUACAUACUCAUGCGUACGUCGUACAAUAUGUUGAUAAAUUCCGAUGGUUGCGCCGUACUUUUAACCACGAUGACGUGACGGGACUCUCACUGCGUACAAAACGGCGUUCUACUUGCGGGCCCACUUUUGACAUCAGGGGAGGCUGAAAAUCAUUUCAAGGUGGAAGCUAAUUUGACAUUUCUUCAACGGAACCCAGCACCUGAAUAUGGCUGAGUAUAUUUGAUUUAAUAUCGAUACUGCUUAGAGUUCUUUGUUACUUCAACUUUUGUACGUUCUAAAUAUCUGCUGUCAUUAAUUGCCACAGAAGUUAAACCCUACCCAAUGGAAUGAUGUUAAACAACGACUUUGGUUCAGUUACCAACUUCAUAAUAUCAAAGCUAAAAUAAUGGCAGUCAUUCCCACAUGUUACAAUACUCUAGUCUAGAACUGUACAAGGUUCAAAAGGUAACAUGUAGUUUGUCCCAAGGUGUCUGCCUCCUCACCCAGAGCAAGACCUCCACCUCCUCACCCAGAGCCAGACCUCCACCUCCUCACCAAGAGACAGACCUCCACCUCCAGUCAGAAGUCCUCCAGAACAGCUGAACGGCGAGGCUGAGAGGCUGGGGACCAGAGGCUUGUGGUGCCAGGGUGGACCGGAGACUGAGGCUGGAGACCAGGGGCCCACAGCACCGGACCAGAGGAAGGUGGGGUGUGUUUCGUCCCCAGGUGAUUUACUGCUGAGAUGGACUGGGUUUGUAACCAGACCAGGAAUCCAUGUCUGGAGGAGCCGUGCUGAAGGAGCUGAUGGAGGAGCCAAGCUGAUGGAGGACCCGUGCUGAAGGAGCUGUUGGAGGAGUCGUGCUGAAGGCCCUGCCUUGUGGAGGCCCUGCCUGGUGAAGGACGUCUGUCAUGGGACCAGGACUCUUUCAGAGGAGAGCUGCUGGAGGAGCUGAGACGCUGGAGGACGACUAGGAAUCGACCAACAAGGAUUCCUCAACGUGUUCCUGGAGAGGAGGCGAGCUGGUAGGGGAGCCGUGAAUCUGGAGGAUGAACAUCACUCUACAAACAAGGAUUACCAGAACUCUGGCUGAGGAGAGCUGAUGGAGGAGCCAUGACUCUGGAGGACGACAUCGCUCCACCAACCAGGAUCCUCACCAGGAAUCUGGAGGACUGAUGGAGAAGCCGUACAUCUGGAAGGCAAAUCCUGAGGAUCACCAGGACUCUACCACCAAGGAUUCCUCAUAAGUUUGCAUUAUCUGGACAUAGUGGACUAGGUAGGGGGUUGGGGGUUCAACUCUCAAACCAAUGGUGCCGGGUUCAAGUCCUCAGAAUACAGUGAUGCGUCCUUGAGCAAGGCGCCCUAAAGCCUGCCUGCUCCUUAAUGACUUAUCUUUGGUUCAGAUAAUGUUGCAUCUUUUGAAUAUUGAACCUAAUCAAUGUCCUUGUUUGGUCCAGGCAGACACACCUGAGCUAAACCCGCCCUGAUCCUGACAUCGUGCUGGUCCCGUCUCCUCAGUUCAUCAGAGCCUUGUCCUCCAGAAGACCUGCUGAGCUCAGCAGUCUGAGGCUGAUGGAUCAAUGACCUCCAGUGGGAGUGAUCUUCUUGACCCCACAUGUAACCGUGUGCUUCCACACGCCUUUCCCUCACGUCUGUCACUAACUUCACUACGCUCUACUGCUUCCUCUUUUCUUCCUUCUCUCUGGUUCAAAUCUUUACACUGAAGGCGCGUCUUCCUGCCCUCAGAGGGUUUAGCGUUAGGGUUGAGAGUCAGGGUUUAGAGUCAGGGACAGAGCUGGUCAGGGAGGACUGCUUUUACACAAACCUCUUCACUUGCUUUCGGAAUGGUGGUGACAUUUCGAAAAGAUGAAUUUGGAAAAUGUUUUCCUCUGCUUUCCUUUAUAAAAUUGUAUUACAUUUCUGUCAAGUGUUUUUGUUUAUAUAUUAAAAUCCCACAUUGACUUCUA